rnacentral:tRNA from 1 species
AGGUAGUUAGUCUAAACAAGAUAAUUGAUUUCGACUCAAUAGACUCCAGUUAAACUCUAGAACUACCUU